GAACACAUAAGUACAGGAGAGCAACCGGGGGAACUGAAACAUCUUAGUACCCCGAGGAAAAGAAAUCAAAAGAGAUUCCCUGAGUAGCGGCGAGCGAAAGGGGAGGAGCCCAAACCAUGGCAGUGCAGAAGCCCGUGGGCGUUGCUGUCAUGGGGUAGAGGGACAUAGCCGGGCGGGGCCACGGACCUGCCGGGGAGUUACAAAUCCUGUGUCUAGCCGAAAGGUCUGGGAAGGCCUGCCGUAGAGGGUGAGAGCCCCGUAGGCGAAAGGCGCAGGACUCCCUGGGCUAUGAUCCCAAGUAGCGUCGGACACGUGGAAUCCGGCGUGAAUCAGGGGGGACCACCCUCCAAGGCUAAAUACUACCCGCUGACCGAUAGAGAAGUAGUACCGUGAGGGAAAGGUGAAAAGAACCCCUGGCGGGGAGUGAAAUAGAACCUGAAACCGCGCGCUGACAAGAAGCGGGAGCCCGAGAGGGUGACCGUGUGCCUUUUGAUUAAUGAGCCUGCGAGUUGUCGUACCUGGCGAGGUUAAGCCGGAGGAGGCGUAGCCGUAGGGAAACCGAGUCUGAAUAGGGCGCGAGUCAGGUACGGCAGACCCGAAGCCGGGUGAGCUACCCAUGGCCAGGGUGAAGGUAGGGUAAAACCUACUGGAGGCCCGAACCGGUUGGCAGUGAAAAGCCAUCGGAUGAGCUGUGGGUAGGAGUGAAAAGCUAAUCGAACCCGGUGAUAGCUGGUUCUCCCCGAAACGUAUUGAGGUACGGCCUCAGGUGGUUAGUGUCGGGGGUAGAGCACUGGAUGGGCUAGGGGGGUAACCUCCGAACCCAACCAAACUCCGAAUCCCGGCACUCAAAGCCUGGGAGACAGACUGCGGGGGAUAAGCUCCGUGGUCGAGAGGGGAACAGCCCAGACCGACAGCUAAGGUCCCGAAGAGGUGGCUAAGUGUGGAAGGAAGUGGCGUGCCUGAGACAGCUGGGAUGUUGGCUUAGAAGCAGCCAUCAUUUAAAGAGUGCGUAACAGCUCACCAGUUGAGGCACGCUGCGCCGAAGAUGUAAGGGGGCUGAAGCCACCCGCCGAAGCUACGGGUCAGUGUCGUAGGGCACUGGCGGUAGGGGAGCGAUGCGCUGUAGGGUGAAGGUGGUGCGAGAGCGCCGCUGGACGAGGCGCAUGAGAGAAUGCAGGCACGAGUAACGAGAAGAGAGUGAGAAUCUCUCUCCCCGCAAGCCCAAGGGUACCUGGGGAAGGGUCGUCCGCCCAGGGUAAGCCGGUACCCUAAGGUGAACCCGAAAGGGGUAGCCGAUGGGAAACGGGUUAAUAAUCCCGUGCCACCACAUGGCGAGGCUAAAGGGGUGACGCAGGAGGAUAGGCUCCGAGGACAAGUGGCAAGUCCUUCCAAGCCACGAGGACUGAGAAGGGCGUAGGCAAAUCCGCGCCUGGAGUCUGAGUGGUGAAGGGGAGCGCCUUUAAGGUGCAACGGGGCCGAGUUCACACUGCCGAGAAAAGCCUCGUUAGCCGAUUGAGUCAUGUGGUGACCGUUCCGCAAACCGACACAGGUGGGCUGGCUGAGGAGGCCAAGGGGAGCGGGAGAACCCUUGCCAAGGAACUCGGCAAAAUGGCCCCGUAACUUCGGGAGAAGGGGUGCUCCUGGGGGUGUAAAAGCCUCUGGGAGUCGCAGUGACAAGGCCCUGGCGACUGUUUACCAAAAACACAGGUCUCUGCCAACUCGAAAAGAGGAGGUAUAGGGACUGACGCCUGCCCAGUGCCGGAAGGUUAAGGGGAGGGGUGAGGCCUCUGAAAGGGGGCGUAGCUCCGAACCGAAGCCCCGGCAAACGGCGGCCGUAACUAUAACGGUCCUAAGGUAGCGAAAUUCCUUGUCGGGUAAGUUCCGACCUGCAUGAAUGGCGUAACGACUGGGGC
rnacentral:rRNA from 1 species